AUUGAACGCUGGCGGCAGGCUUAACACAUGCAAGUCGAACGAGUGGCGGACGGGUGAGUAAUGCUUGGGAAUCUGGCUUAUGGAGGGGGAUAACGACGGGAAACUGUCGCUAAUACCGCGUACCCUAGGAUGAGCCCAAGUGGGAUUAGGUAGUUGGUGGGGUAAUGGCCUACCAAGCCGACGAUCUCUAGCUGGUCUGAGAGGAUGACCAGCCACCCCGGUACGGGGACACGGGCCGGACUCCUACGGGAGGCAGCAGUGGGGGAUAUUGCGCAAUGGGGGUAAACAGACGCAGCAACGCCGCGUGGGUGAUGGCGGCUUUCGGGUUGUAAAGCUCUGUUAAUCGGGACGCGGUACCGGAAUAGAAAGCCACGGCUAACUACGUGCCAGCAGCCGCGGUAAUUC
rnacentral:rRNA from 1 species